rnacentral:tRNA from 1 species
GCCCAGAUAGCUCAGUUGGUAGAGCAUCAGACUUUAAAUCUGAGGGUUGAGGUUUCAAGUCCCUAUUUAGAAG